rnacentral:tRNA from 1 species
CAGGAAUUAGUUUAAAAAAACACCUAACUUCGAAUUAGCUGAUUUAGGACACCCCUAAAUUCCUGU